GCCCUAUUUCUUGUGGUGAAUUCGUUUGGUAAUUCAAGGUGGAUUAGAGAUGGUAUAAGGUUGGUGAUAGCAGGUGAUGAAGGUUUCGGUAUUUCCCGUAGGUUGAGGUGGUGAUUGGUUCCCGGUAAAACAGGACUGGAGGAGGUCUAGGUAGAUGGUGUUUCCGGCAGGUGAUUUUGGGUGUUCACGGAGGUGGCAGCAGGUACGUGUGGUGGUAGAUUGUGAUGGAGGUGGUGAAACAGAGGUGGCACACAAAAAGAAACACACAGUUCCUUCUUCUUUUUGGUUCGAAUAAUAGGUGGUGAGGUUGAAUGUUAAGUUCGACGGGGUCGUGGGUGGCUAUGGCUUUCGACUUCUCGUUUUUCCGGUGGUAUAAGGUGGUGAUGAUGGUUUCGGCUGUGAAGGUGGUGAAUGGUUUACGGAGGAAGGCUGUGAGAAAAAAGAAACCUGGAGCAAAGAUUUGAGAAGAAAAGAACUGCUACGGGAAUUAAUGAGAAAUCUCAAAUCGUGUGAAUAAACGGAAGAGCAUCAAUCGUUUUUAUAGGUUGUAAAUGAUAAUAUUUGAUCCCACAAAAAUUCGGAUCCUAUACCAAAUCAACAGAAGAUUAGCUGGAAAAUAAAGGAAAAAACAAUUAAGUAGUAUAAGUAUAGAUUUGAUUGUUGAAUUUUGGAUUCACUUCACUCAAGUCUAGGGUUUAACAAGAUUUAAUUUUGGUAUUACCAAAAAAUAAUGCGAGUUAUUUGUUGGGUUUAUUUGUAGUCUUUGACGAACUUUCCAUUACCACGACCAAAAGAUGGGUUUGAUUAUUAUGCCAAUAGUAGUCAGGACGAUGAGACCUCCAAACACUUGUUGUAUCCAUUACCAAAGUCAUGGAAUGAUGUCUGAAAAGAAAAAGAGACGAAACAAUGUGUAUAUUGGUGAUGAAGACCAUGAUUUUGAGCCAUGCCUAGCUGGCAUUAGCAUGUCCAUAACUACAAGAGAAGCAAUAAUACAGGAGUUUGACAAGUCCUAGUUCUACGUUUAAUGGUAUUUCAGAUUCAACAUGAAGAGCAGUCUAGGAUCAAGUACAGGAUUGAAAUAGCCUACAGGGAAAAGCAGAUUUAUCUCCACAUUUGGACAUUUUGUCAUUUGGAUCUUGCUUAUGUGAAUUGGAUGAUACUUAAUCAUCAUUCCAAAGUGCAGGUUCUCAUUUAUCACCAAUCCAUGAUGUCUUCGGUUUAGGGCAAAUUUCGAGAAACAACGGACUUCAUUCUUUUCAUCAAUAUAGGCAAUGUACUUUAUUAUUUUACCCAUUAUACGUACCAACAUAAUUACACCUUUUUUUACCCACAAUAACAACACAUUUACCUUUUGUUUAUUGAUAAUAACUAUCUUCAAGCCAUAAUAUCAAAAUACUUAUAUUUUUCACAAAAUAAAAUAGCAACAAUAUUUGCAACUUUAACCAUAAUUGUACUUGCAUUUUUUUUUUUACCGGCGAGAGCAUAAUAUAACAAAUAAAGUACAUUGCUUAUAUUGAUAGCGAAAUGUAAGCAUGUUGCUAUUCUGAGUUACAUAUUCUAGUAUCAAUGUGUUGCUAAAAUGGGUAGAAAAUAAAGUACAUUGCCUAUAUUGGUAAAAGAAAAGGUAAGUUACGUUGCUAUUAUCAGCAAAUUGCCUUUCGGUUUACUAAGAUGGCACACAACAGAUACAUUAUUAGCUAUUAGAUGUCUUGUUAAUGGGAUUAGUUGUUUCCAUGGUUUCAUUUAACAAGUAUAUUGAUAGAGAAUGUCUUUUGUAUAAUGAAUUACUCUCAAAUAAAGAUGAGGGAAUAUUACAUUUUUAAUUUGCUUUGCUUGCAAUCCAAGAAUAGAAUAAGAAACAACUUUGUAUUGGAAAUUCAAAGCAAAGAUUUUGUAAAUAACGGUUUGUUCUUUGCGUGUAAUCAAACAAAUUCUUUUUCGUUGUCUUUUAAUGGUCAAUUUCUUUCCCAUCUUACUGUCAAAAUAUAAGUUCCUUUGCAACUUUUAUAUUUAGUUCGUCGUUUGUGCGAUACAAGAGUUAGAGAUAUCAUCGACAUAGCUAGCUACAAUGGAGCAACUUUUGCACUUCACUCAUGAUCAUAUGCUCAGCCUUGUCCAUCUGCAACCUGCUAGCCACGAUAGUGAAAACUCUGAUGAAGAAGAAGAGAAAGAAGAAGGUGAGGAGGAUGAUUUUGUGGCUGAAGAGAAGCAUGUUGGAGAAUGCAAAAUGUGUAAGGAAGGGAUCUACUCAUUUCAUAUAAGUUACUACGAGUGUAAGGAUUGUGAUGAUGACUACUCGUUGCACAAAUUUUGUGCAGAAAUGCCAAAAACCCUACAAAACCACCCAUCACAUGAUUUCCAUCCUUACCAUAAUCUUACCUUGUCUAAAGGAUUCUUUUGGAUAUAUUCCAGUGACGAAUGGGCAUGUAGUGUCUGCAAUCUUAUGCGGAAGAACAUAUUCAAUUACAUGUGUUCCAUUUGUGAAAUCAACAUGGACAUAAUUUGUGCCACUAUGUCUCAACAAAAGAUGGACCACCCAAGCCACCCUCACCUACUGCAACGUACACUACAAGAAAAUUUCGAUUUAGCUACGAAAAAAUUCCGUAGCUAAAAGCUAAAAUUUUGUAGCUAAACCUAAAUAACUACAGAAGUUGCUACGGAAUUUGUCAAUGAGAUUCCAUAGGUAUAUUUCUUGUAGCAAACUGUUUAGCUACAAAAUUAUAGUUUCCGUAGCAGUUUUGCUACGUCAUUUAUUUCGUAGUAAUUUAACUACAAGACAUUUCCAUAACAUUUCUGUAACAAUGGGGUGCGUAGCCAUUUCUUCCGUAAGAAAUUCCAUAGCCAUUUGUUUUGUAGCAAAUUCCGUAACCAUUUGCUUCGUAGCAAAUUCCGGAGCCAUAUGUUACGUAACAAAUUCCGUAGUCAUAUGUUUCGUAACAAAUUCCAUAGCCAUUUGUUUCGUAACAAAUUUUGUAGCCAUUUGUUCCAUAGCAAAUUCUAUGGUCAGUUGUUCCAUAACAAAAAUUGGUUCCAAAACAAACUCAUAACGAUAAAAAUAUUCAACAAAAUCCAAUUUCCAUUUAUAAUACUCGUUGAAAUAUAUAAAAAUGCAAUAAAUUUAAUUUUAA